GUCACAGUGCUCAAAAUUUCUGGGUCAGAAGUUAGAUUUUGCCAGGCUGACAGAGAGUUUCUAACAUUGCCAGCCUUAAAACUGUCGCAUCGAAAUUUUAAGUAGUUCGUUAAAUUUUCAAUAGCAAGGGGAAAUUUACUUACCGAUAAUUUAAUCUUUUCAAGAGUGCUCAAGAUUUCCUGCCGGGUUUGGCUUUGAACAUCGGUUUUUUCUGGCCCUUCCCCCAAAAAUGAG